GAGCGUUUGCUUCGACUAGCGCGCUAGCGCUCGUGACAUACACAAACGCGCUAGCCAGAAUGCUUUGACUUUGAUGGCUUUCAGCUUCUAUUUUUUGAAAAGUAGCGCGCUCAGACCAGCUCGCUCACUCUUUUCCUCUUCCAUUUUUUAGGGCAAUUGUUUUGUUUGAUAGACGAAGCUUAGGGUCUCUUUGGGUUUGCAACCCUUACUCUCCUGGAAAAAAUCAUAGUUGCUAGACUGCGACACUUCAGACCAGGUACUAUUAGAGCCGCUAAUGGACGACGAGCUAUUUUCCGCUAUCCGGAGCUCAAGCAUUUGAGCCGCUAAAUGGACGAGACUCCUGGGGUAAAGGAUGCAGAGAAUGAGGAGAAAACACUCGUAUGGAGCAGGGAGUAGGUAUUGUACUACUUCCUGGUAUGGAGCACUGAGAAGCGCUUGGUGACAUCGUCCAAGAUCGACAGGGAUGGCGUAUCACCUGCCGUGACGCUGUCGACGCUAUUGUCCAGUCCCGCAUGGAGCCUGUGGCGAAGCCCCUCAUUUGUGGCACUUGUGCGCGCAGUUUUCGUCGGCCACAGGAUAUUGCGACGCACAAGUGUAACGCUGUUCGCGCGGCCCGCGCGCGCUGAGUACGGCGUUCCCCGCCCGGUGGACAACACGUCUCCUGGUCUGCCCCGUAUGGGGCCACAUAGCCAGUCAUGGCAGUGGAAGAAGGAAGGAAGGAAGUUCAUGGUUUCUGGCCCCAACACCUCUAACGACGAUCUAGAGCCGCUCGCGACACGAACCAUGGAGAUUGCCCAUGUGUCGUCUUUUCGUUACCUUGGAUUCAACAUACACAGCAACGGCCGAUGUCAUGAAUCUGAUGAUGUCACAUCCCGGAUCUCUGUCUUUUCUCCUUCUG